CCCCUACUAUGAAGAAUCUGCCUGAAAUGCAGGAGACCCAGGUUCAAUUCCUGGGUUGGGAA
rnacentral:tRNA from 1 species